UCCGGGCACCACACCUAGUGCGGAAGCGUUUUUUAGUCUGGCUCACCGAGGGCUAGAGGGUCACCUACAUCUUUACACACAUUUAAUUUAAUUAUUAAUUUUUUAUUUUGUUUUAUAUUUUUGAGACAGGGGCUCACUCUGUCCCCCAGGCCGGAGUGCAGUGGCGCGACCACGGCCUUCUGCAGCCUCAGCUUCCGUGCUCAAGGGAUCCGCCCGCCUCAGCCUCCCAACAUGCUGGGAUUACAGGCGUGAGCCACCGCCCCGGAACAACUUAAUUAAAAAAAAAAAAGCCAUACGGUUGCCUCGAGGUGUUUUGAGGGAGACAGAGGAAGGCUUGUCUACACACACCAGAGAAUUUCUGCUGCAGAGACUGGAGUGAAGUAUCAUCCAUGAAGCAAGGAACUUCAAGGACUGCCACCAACACCAGAAGAAAAAGGGAUGGAACAGAGGGUCUCCUCUGGAGGCUUCAGAAAGAGCAUGGCCCCGGCCGGGCACAGUGGCACAUGCCUGUAAUCCCAGCACCCUGGGAGGCCAAGCGUUCCUGUGGCUUUCACGCUGUGGAGUUGGUUUGCCUGCCAGAAGGGAAGUUCUCGCAGCUGUCGGCUCUUAAAUCCAAGGAAUUGGCUGGACGCGGUGGUUCGCGCCUGUAAUCCCAGCAUUUUGGGAGGCUGAGAUGGCCUGAAGCAACUGAAGAACCACAAAAGAAGUGAAAUAGCCGGUUCCUGCCUUAACUGAUGACAUUCCACCCUUGUGAUUUGUUCCUGCUCCACCCUAACUGAACAACUGACCUUGUGACAUUCCUUCUGGACUUGAGUCUCAGGAGCUCCCCACCGAGCACCCUGUGACCCCUGCCCCUGCCCACAAGAGAAAAACCCCCUUUAACUGUAAUUUUCCACUACCUACCCGAAUCCUGUAAAACUGCCCCACCCCAUCUCCCUUUGCUGACUCCUUUUUUGGACUCAGUCGGCCUGCACCCAGAUGAUUAAAAGGCUUUAUUGCUCACACAA